CCUGGUGCAAAACCCAUUACAUGAUCAUCCCACCUACACCUCAGCCCUCUAUUGGUAAUCCACCUGAGGAGAACUCCUUCCUGCUGACACUAUGUUUGGUUCUGGUUCUGCAAAACCCAUUACCCAGUAUUCUCUAAAGAUGGUGUACCUACUUAUAACAACAUGAUGGUGCUGAAAGUAGGCAGUUUGCUUCUGCUUCUGGCUUGGCUGUAGUCAAUAAAGAGCUCAUGUACCUCAUCAAAAAUAAAGUAUAUAUUUGGUCUUUUUA